rnacentral:lncRNA from 1 species
GCACUGUAGCUCUUAACGGAUGCGCUUAUGAUUGAGGGACCCACCUAUUGUUAAGAAUGGGCCCACUCCUGGUUUUGUUAGUAGGGUAUGAGCUGACUAACACUUCAUCAGGUACGAGCUGAUGAGGGGGUGGUUGUAUUGUAGUCUGUCAAAAACUUGAGUCAUAAGGCACAUAAUUUGCAAGAAGAAAGAUCUUUUUGCUUGACGAAGAU